UACGUAGGGGCAAGCGUUGUCCGGAUUUAUUGGGCGUUAAAGAGCAGUGUAGGCGGUUCGGUAGGUCCGUUGUGAAAACUCGAGGCCUCAACCGUCGAGACGCCGAUGGAAACCAUCGAACUAGAGUCCGGAAGAGGAGAGUGGAAUUCCUGGUGUAGCGGUGAAAUGCGCAGAUAUCAGGAAGAACACCCGUGGCUAAAGGCGGCUCUCUAGUACGGUACUGACGCUGAGAGCGAAAGCGUGGGGAGCGAACAGGAUUAGAUACCC
rnacentral:rRNA from 1 species